CUGAAUCUUAGAAAAAUAAAAUUAAGAGGUAAUGAACUUUAAAGAGAACAGCUCACCUUAUUCCUGUGUUACACAGCCUCAUUUUUUUGAAAGGAGUAUGGAAGUGCAACACAACCUGCAGGGCAUGGCUUCAGACACAAAUUAUGAACAUGGAUCUCAUCACCAAAGAGCACAGCAUUGCCCUACACAGGGUAGAACCCACCCACACCUAUUUCACAGAGAAUCUCACCAAAAAAGACAGAGUAACCAAGGAAAUCCUCAGUCACAUGCUAAACUCCUGAUCUCAUCUUAAACUCUGCCUCUUGCAGAGCUCCUUCAUAGGUGUUGAUCUGCUUCACAUCCAAAGGUGUUCCUGGCUGCAGCAGCAGUGGCUGCCUUCUGGAUACUGCCUCCAUCGAGUUUCUGUGCCAGUGUAGUCCUGGUCACAGAGCUGCCACAGAGCCCAUGCUCUGAUUUUUCCAGACGAAGCUCCACUGCUGCCCCCUCACCCAGGGAAGUUUGUUCUCUGCACUCACUCCUAGUGCUGCAUGACUUGUGCUUUGUGCUAUCCUGCACUCACUGCUUCAAACACAACCUCUGCUCGGUGCUCUCUGGCCUUGCAGAAAAUCAGGGCUUUUUUUGCUAUUUCAGAGCAGCUUGUUGGAGAUACUUAAGGUGAGUGUUGCAGUGCCACUGGAAAGGUAGAGAAGCAGAACUGAACUCCACCAAGGCUAUAUUAAAAGCGUGCAGUGGAGAACAUGAGGUACUUCUAUGCUGCUGAAGUCUACACUAAGCAGAGUCACCAAACUACACAGAUACCGUCUUUCACCACCUGUUUUUGUCAGGGGAAUCACAGACUAAAAUCCAGCUAAUACAUCUCCUUCUUCAUCUCAGAGAUUUCUUUAACUUUUAGGAAACUCACUUCUGGAAAUAGUUUAGAGUUUCUGCCAAACAGAUGCAUAUGCUAGUACUGCUAAAAAAAUAUAUGGUUAUGGCAAAAUACUCUUAAACUAUUGGAAAGUAGGUGCUGACACUGUGGUUAACUCUGGGCUGGCCAAAAAAACUGAUUUAGUAAGUGGGAUCUAAGAACCAGGUCUGCAUGUCUGGGCAUCAAACGCUGCCCUGUAAAAUAACUUUUGUUGUUGCUUCAUAUAAAGCUCAUUCCAUUAAAAGUCACAAUGAAACCAAA